rnacentral:misc_RNA from 1 species
GUCCCAUGUGUUUGCAAUCUAUCAUUCUGAAGGAUCCCACAAGCUACCGGUUGGUGAAAGUGAUUCUGAUCUUGAAGGGCGUAUAAUCCAGCACUUGGCUGCUGCUGCUGCUGCUGCUAUGGGAAGGACCCACCACUUUGGUAGAAGGGAAGUCCCAAGGAAUAGCCAAUCUUCCCAUGGUCGUCCACACUUUUUGGUAUUUUCUACUCACCCUGAUGCACCAUCUUCUGCCCAUGUUUCUUCCUCACCUUCUCAGGUAGGGGGGGAAAACGAACCGGCUGCAGUUGCUGUAGCUAGUCCAUCAGCUCCAAUUACAUUUUGUGGGAAUGAACUGCCAGAGCAAGCCCUACAAUUUUCUUCUGCUGUAACAGACCAAAUUUCAUCUGCAUCUGGAUCUACAAUCAUGCAUGCAAAUCGUCAAUACUGCUAGCCAUUCUUUAUCGCCAAAUCAAGACAGAGAAGGACCAUCUGAAUUUCAGUCAUUUUCAGAGUCUUUAAAAUCUAGACUUAAUGCAAUGUCAAUGAGGUGUAGUUUAUGAAAGGACCCUGUCUUUUCUGGUACAAUGUUGUGCAUCUGACACAUUUUCUUUUUCAGUAUUCCUAAUUUCUUUUAGACACUUGUAUUUAGAUACAAAGAAUCUAUUUCAAGAAGUACAAGAGGGUGGAAGGAGAGGCUGUUCUUUCCUAGCAGUUCUAUGUCAGAUCUUGGUUCUGAAGUCCGGAGAGAAGUGAAUGCUGGAAUUGCAUGUGUAUCUUGUAUGAUGGAUCGUCUUGAAACCAGAGAUAAUAGUAGAGCUAACCAAGUCUCUGUACCAACUCAUUCAACUGAUUAUUCAGUUGCCGAAAGUAGCAACCAGAAUAAUGCCAACACUCACAGACACAGCCGUAUAAAUGAAAGCAAUACACCGGCUUCUUGUGCUGCAAGCUCAGCUUCUACUUAAAGUUGUUAAUGAUUGUUUCAGGGUAUCUAUCCUCAGCAUUUCAUCUUUGAAGGUGCGUGAUGAUAUUACUUGUUAGUGCCACCAUAUUUGGAUUUUUCUUUGCUUGUUCUACCACUAAGUUCAAUUAUUAGGAACCUGUCAAUAUCUGCAAUUUUAAGGUUUGCCGAGUUGAAUAUUUAUAGAAAGUAUAUUUGACUUACGACAUAGAUGCAAAUAUCCAAUUUCCCAAAAUGAAUAGCCAUUUUGAUGCUCUCAAUGUUUUAGGCUGUUGUUAUGUUGAUAUUUCCUGUUCCACGAUGUCAUUGAAUGCAGCAAAUAUUAUUGGACUAAUUUGGUUUGCAAUCCUGUUCAUUUAUUAUAAAGAAUCUUUGAGAUGACACGCAUACUUGAUAAUGUAUAUAUAGAUAUAGAUAUAAGCGCAUACUUGAUAUUGCUGAGAACUUUUAUAAGCCCCCUUAAGCUAAUAAACAUUCUGGUGUUUCAUAGUGUUGGAAGUCUGUUUUGCAUCAUCUGAUCCUUUGCAGGAGAUUGACAUCUAAUAUGAGUUAGGUUUGGAUUUUCAGGUUGUAAACUGCUUUUCUCCAAAUAUGACAUGCUGAGGAAA